CUUUCAGUUGAAAUUGAUUUUUAGAUAGAUUUUAUCCAGUUAUACAAAUGACAUUUAGCCAAUAACAGGGUAAAAUGGCUUUGCUGUGCUUAGCAAAAAAGAUAUUGAUUGUCCAAAAAAAAAAAAAAAAAAAAGAAUACACUAGACUUUCCCACCAUCUAAGCCAUUGUGCAGUCAUGCUAAUGUUGAUAGCUGUGUAUUUCUCAUUUGGAUAGACCCAAAAAAUAACAUGUAUCUGCUAGUUUGCAAUGUAUUUCAUGACAGUAAUCCCUAAUUGAUUCUUAUGUAACUUAAAUAAGUUUGUCUAGUGAAUAACCACAAAGAAGCAGUCUAAGCACCACAGCUACUACAUGCAGAUCUCCACCAUUCCCUGGUUCUUGGUCAAACCAUUUCAAGACAUUUUAUUAAAACUGGGGGUGUCUUAAAUGAACUUGAGGCACCUACAGCCCAGCCCACACUUGUCUAAACUGAUAGUUUAGAUGUUCCACUUCCCCAUUAGCAAUAUAUGUUCCAUAUUCUAAUCUCAUUCUUUGGCAGAGUGCAUAUGGUGAUGGCAUGUAGUGGUUGAAUAACCCUGCAAAGUAAGUUAUUUAUUCACACUUCCUCUCUUAAUGUUAACAAUUUAAAUGUCAUCUUAAUGUUUUAUUUGUGAAAGAGUGCGUUGUGAUGAAUUUGAAGCGAAGUUUCAAAAUUCUAAUUGGAUUAACAUAGCUGAAACAUUGCAAAUCAGAUGUUUCCAGUUUGACAAAUUUGUCAGCUCAUCACAACCCACUUUUUAGCCAAUAAACCAAAUUCAGUGC